rnacentral:misc_RNA from 1 species
AGUCGUAACAAGGUCUCCGUUGGUGAACCAGCGGAGGGAUCAUUACCGAGUUUACAACUCCCAAACCCCUGUGAACAUACCUAUACGUUGCCUCGGCGGAUCAGCCCGCGCCCCGUAAAACGGGACGGCCCGCCCGAGGACCCCUAAACUCUGUUUUUAGUGGAACUUCUGAGUAAAACAAACAAAUAAAUCAAAACUUUCAACAACGGAUCUCUUGGUUCUGGCAUCGAUGAAGAACGCAGCAAAAUGCGAUAAGUAAUGUGAAUUGCAGAAUUCAGUGAAUCAUCGAAUCUUUGAACGCACAUUGCGCCCGCCAGUAUUCUGGCGGGCAUGCCUGUUCGAGCGUCAUUUCAACCCUCAAGCUCAGCUUGGUGUUGGGACUCGCGGUAACCCGCGUUCCCCAAAUCGAUUGGCGGUCACGUCGAGCUUCCAUAGCGUAGUAAUCAUACACCUCGUUACUGGUAAUCGUCGCGGCCACGCCGUAAAACCCCAACUUCUGAAUGUUGACCUCGGAUCAGGUAGGAAUACCCGCUGAACCUAAGCAUAUCA